UUAGAGUGUUAAAUGUGACGG
rnacentral:siRNA from 1 species